rnacentral:rRNA from 1 species
UACAGAGGUCCCGAGCGUUGUUCGGAUUUAUUGGGCGUAAAGGGUGCGUAGGCGUCGGAGUAAGUUGGGUGUGAAAUCCCGGGGCUUAACCUCGGAAUUGCAUUCAAUACUGCUUCGCUCGAGUACUGGAGAGGAGGCUGGAAUUUACGGUGUAGCAGUGAAAUGCGUAGAUAUCGUAAGGAAGGCCGGUGGCGAAAGCGAGCCUCUGGACAGUUACUGACGCUGAUGCACGAAGGCCAGGGGAGCAAACGGG